UACGGAAGGCAGCAGUGGGGAAUAUUGCACAAUGGGCGAAAGCCUGAUGCAGCUAUGCCGCGUGUAUGAAGAAGGCCUUAGGGUUGUAAAGUACUUUCAUCGGGGAGGAAAAAACAAAACUAAUAAUUUUAUUUCUUGACGUUACCCGAAAAAGAAGCACCGGCUAACUCCGUGCCAGCAGCCGCGGUAAUACGGAGGGUGCUAGCGUUAAUCAGAAUUACUGGGCGUAAAGAGCACGUAGGUGGUUUUUUUAAGUCAGAUGUGAAAUCCCUGGGCUUAACCUAGGAACUGCAUUUUGAAACUGAAAUACUAGAGUAUCGUAGAGGGAGGUAGAAUUCUAGGUGUAGCGGUUGAAAUGCGUAGAUAUCUGGAGGAAUACCUGUGGCGAAAGCGGCCUCCUAAACGAAUACUGACACUGAGGUGCGAAAGCGUGGGGAGCAAACAGGGAUUAGAUA
rnacentral:rRNA from 1 species